rnacentral:lncRNA from 1 species
GUCAACUAUGAUAUGAAAUAAAUUUAAUAUGCAUUGAUGUCUUACAGAAUCACUUUUAUGAGUUAAAUACCAUGCAAAUUACUAAAGAAUUCUGUGUAUCUGUGGAUGAUUCAAAUGAAAAUAUUUGUUUACCUGUGAAAGGAAAAUAUGUAUCACAUAAAAUAUAAAGAUUUAAUGUUAUAAACAUUGUAUGUAUAAUCAAUAUAUUUUGCCCAUCACACUUUUAUUACAAAAUCAGAAUUUAUAAACCAUAUUCAUUUCCUUAAAAAAUGGCUUUAAAAAGCACCUGGAAAUUUUUUAGGCACAAGAUUUAUUUUAAAAACAUACAAUUUGUUCCUAAUCUGCAGAAAGAAGUUUCGUAAGAUUACUAAUCACUAGGAUUUGCUUUUUCUGUAGCAGCCACAGGAGAGGACGAUACAAUAGGUCUUCGGAAAAGGUCAGGCGGGACCCACUGUGUACUUGUUCUUUCUUUCAUUUUCAAGCUUCUCUCCCUUCCUAUGCCUUUGGAGUAACUUCUGCUCACCAGUGAAUAUAUUUUGUUCCAUGGGAUUUAUGAAAUUUCUAACCUUUCUUUGUGUUCUGCACUGCCUUGUCCAUUUCAUCAUCACCUUCCUGUCAUUUACCACCUUGAAGCAGAUUCUUUACUAUUGAGCCACCAGGGAAACCAUAAAUAAACAAAAAAACAACUUAGCUCAGCAAAGCACAUUAUAGCAAAGUGAUCUGUUAUUAUAUAGCGUGACUAAAAAUGGGCAAUCAUGAAAAACAUUCUUUUAAAAUAUAAAUUAUUAUUUGAAUGCUUACAGCCUUUAAACUUUCAAAGAAAUUAUCUUCAGUUAUACCAUGUACAGUUGAUAUGAGGAGUUCAAGAAAUAGUAAUGGAUAUAGAGACUUCACACAAUGUAUUGUUUUUCAGUCACUAAGUCCCUACUCUUUGCAGCCCCCUGGACCGCAGCACACCAGGCCUCCUUGUUCAUCACCAACUCCCGGAGUUCACUCAAACUCAUGUCCAUUGAGUCGGUGAUGCCAUCCAGCCAUCUCAUCCUCUGCCGUCCCCUUCUCCUGCCUUCAAUCUUUCCCAACAUCAGGGUCUUUUCCAAUGAAUCAGCUCUUCGUACCACACAGUGUAUACAGCACAAGGUCAUUCUGAUAUGCAACCAGGCAAGACAGCCAUGUCUCCAAACCCAUUUUCUACUGGUCCAAGGCUAUGCACAUAGCCAAAUAUGGGAAUUUCUGCUAAUGUUUUCUGGAAAAGCUUCACUUUCAUGA